GUGCCUAGAUACCUGUUUUGAUACCUGUCAAGAAAGCCUUGAUUUAGGAAGCCUGUCAUGUACUAUGGUGAAUGACUGAAGUGAGUUAUAUUUUUAGGGCUUUGCCUGUUCUGAUGCAAGACAGGUUUUAUUUUUGGUGGAAACAACACUGCUGCAGUCGUCUGAAAUACUGUGAAUGGAGUGGUGAGCUGUUCUGCCUGAUGCUGCUAGUGUUUCCAUGGAAACAAGCCAGCUCUUCGCUUCCUCUUCCCAUUGAAAACAGCCUUCUCACUGUCACUUAUUCAUCUGGGAAAAGGAUUUUGUCAUGGCUCUGACAUAAAUGACACAGAGAUGAUCUGUCCUAUCAUUUCAGAAAUAGAUGCUAUUAGUUCUACUGUUCAGACAAGAACAGCGUGACAACUGUGUGCACUGAAGAAAUGCCAAAAUGGGGUGAAAUGUGAGCGUGAGACAGGAGGGAAGAUGUUUGGGAUCCUAGACUUCAG
rnacentral:lncRNA from 1 species